GCCCCCCUGUACCCCUUCCUCUACCCCGCCGACUCCCCUGGACACACACAUCCCGGGCCCAGAAGUUUGGGGUGCAAACUUUCCAGUGUGAGCCCCUAAUGAUCGCCCGCCCUGCUCUGCAAUCUAGCCCCGCCCCCGCGUGCCAGGCCCGAUUCCCCCGGGAAGGUGGGGGGAUGGGGGGUCCUGAGCUGCGACUGGAGUCUGCACCCCUCCCUCACCUGCUGCGUGAGCGCCCUCUGGCGGCGAACCCCGGGUGCUGCGCCUCCCGUUCCAGCCCCGUCUGAAAUUACCGCGCAGGGAACUAACCCUGCGGCCCAGAGGAGCUGAUUUCCGAAGGCGCGGCUUGGCGGGGGCGGGGGCCGGUUAUACCGGGACCCCUCGCCCUGCGCUGACGUGCAGCUGUCUCUGGGGUGAGGCGGGGGCUGUUUGUACAGGGACCCCUCACGCAGCGGCAGGGACCCGGGCCCUCUGGGGGGGGUGGGGGCCAGUUAUACAGGGACCCCUCCCCCGGUGCUGGGACGCAGCCCCUCUGGGGUGGGGCAGGGGCUGGUUACAAAUCUUCCCACCCAGCAGUUUGAGAGAGAAGCUGGAGAGGAAAAGCCUGCAUCCCACUGUCCUGGCCGGGGCCAAACGCAGGCAGCAAAAGUGGCAUUUGGCCUAGGGAUCCCGACCUGACCCCCCCGGAGGCUCCACCCUACACCCUGCCACACAGCAUCCUCUAGUGCCGCACUGGGGUCAGCACUGGCUGCCAGGGGUCACCACACACUUGCACCGCAGUCCCUGGCUGGACCGACGGGGGUCUCAGCAGGUGCAGGGAGGGGAUCUCCCCUCUGGGCUUGGCGCAGGGGCCACGUGGCUGGAUCCACGCUCGGUGCUGGGCCCCCCACAUUCCCUGAGGCUGGUGCUGGGCCUCCGGCGCUCCCUGCCAGCUGGUGAUACACUGCGAGGGGCCAGAGCAGAGCCCUGAGGAUGAUUCAAGGGUUCAAAGCCCUGCCCCAGAGCCGCCAGGAGCUCCCGCUGUUCAGCUGGGCCCAGGGAGGGUCGGGGGGACUUGGUCCCCAUCUCUCGGCCCCAGGGUCGGGGGCUCUUCACGUCAGCAGCAAAAGGCCUGGCCGGGAGGGGGAGCUGGACCCGGUCGGACGGGGCAUUGGGAGGGCAAUGGCCCGCUGGACGACGGAUCCCCCGUCCCUGACCAUGUUAAAUCCCUGAGCGGCCAUUUGUCAGAGAUCUGCUCCGGUGAUGGUUCGGGGGCCGGGCUGUGGCCUGUGUGGUGCACACAGAUCCCUACUAGCCACAAGAAUUCCCACCCCACUCCCUGCAACACAGUCCUCCUCGGCUGGCCCUGGGGACCAGAGAGUACCCCCCCCGAACCCUGUAUCCCAUUCCCCCGCACCGUGGAAGUCUCCAAGCCAAGCAUGAAGCCUGCCAGCAGCUGUUCGAGCUAGUGCGUGAGGCCGGAAGGCUGCAGAGCUGGGCAGGACCCGUGGGGGCGGGGACGCAGUGGGGCGCAUCUCCUGCUGAUGGGCACCGAGGAGAAAAGCCAGGACCCGGAUGGAUGCUUUGCACACACAGAGCUGGCUGCAGCACGCAGGGCUUCUCCUCCACACCCCGGCACCAGGAGACGUGAACCCCGACCACCAUGGAGAUGGGGCCAGCGUGGGUCUGUGUCCUGCUCCCCCUCUGCCUCUUGCCGGGACACCUUUGCGGCGAGCUCUCCACAAACACGACAGCACUGUGCAAUGGGACCACCGCGAAUGUGACCGAGGUCCCCCCGGCCCCCAGCACCCCUUGGCCCAGGCUCCCCGUGGUCAGGGUGCAAACCAGCCCGGCCGCCCAGCUCCUGGCGGAGAACAGCCUUGUGAAGGUGGAGGCUGGCCUCACCUCUGUGACUGUACCUGAGGGGGGCCGGGCGACCCUGGAGUGCCGGUUCGAAGCCCCGUCUGGGGCCCGGGUCACCUGGAGCCGAGCCUCUCGGAACUGCAGCGAGCCCAUCCUGGUGGCCAAUGGCACUGGCCCCCAGCACAGCGUGGCCAUCACCUUGGGCACUGGCGUCUCCGUCCUCGCCUUCCACUCUGCCAGGAAGAGCGACAUCGGCCUGUAUUUCUGCCAGGUGCAAACCAACGAGGCCUGGGGCCAGUCGUGCGGCACCUACCUGCGGGUCCGCAAACCCAUCCCGGUUCCCUUCCUGAACAUGCGGGAAUCCACCAAGAACCAGCUGAUCACCGCCGAGGGCAUCCUGCUCCUGUUCUGUGCUGUGGGGCCCGGCAUCUUCCUCCUCUUCAGGAAGAGAUGGGAGAACGAGCGGCUGCUGCAGUCCAAGAAGAACGAGUAUGAAGAGGAGAAUCUGUACGAGGGCCUGAACCUGGACGAGUGCUCCAUGUAUGAGGACAUCUCGCGGGGCCUGCAUGCCACCUACCAGGACGUGGCCAACCUCCAUGUGCUCGACAUGCAGCUGGAGAAGCCGUGAGGGGGGCACCGGCUAUGACCCGGGACCUCUUGGUGCCAGCUGGGUCCCUGGGUCUGGUCUUUCCACAGCGGUUUGUCCCAGGCUGCUGGGCGAGGCCUCUACCACAAGCCUGCGUCACCCUGAUUGUCACCACGCUGGGAGGGGAGUUGUGCGUUUACACGGACCGUUCUGCUCUGGGAGCCGGGUGCUCUCCCCAAGGGGAGAACCGAGUUCCUCUCAGGCAGGAGACGCUUGUUCACCGGUCGGGCUAACUGUCACGUCGCAGUGGGUGCGCUCCCCACUGAGCGAAGUGCGAGGCGAGGCUCGGCUCGGUGAACUUGCCGGGGAGAUCUCAGCAGAGCCCGUGGCAACGGGAAGUGUGGACCGAUGGCGGAGGGUGCAGAGAUCCACCCAGAGCCUGUCAUGUGGAGAUACUACCAUACCAAAGACUACAAGGAGCAGAUAGCCAUGUAAAAAUAGGCUGACCACUGCAGCAACGAGUACCUUCUCCAGAUCAGACAUGCAUAGCAGAUCUCCCCCAAAUGGCACCCCUUGCUGACAGUCACUCCAUCACCACAGCAAUCUAUCUUCCCAUAACUUGGCCUUCUUGCCAGGUCACACUUUAGUCCACCCCUUCCAGGGUAACAGAAAGCCCAACAUCCUCACCAAAGGAUCUUUGGGCCUCCAACAUGAGGCCUCUGGUCCUCACAUCCUUACCUCAGAGUUUUCCAGUGUCCUUGUCCCCUUCUCUGGGCUCAUGACACCUUACCAGUGGCUGAUGGGGAGCCUGGGCCCUUCCACUACACCAGGUCCCAGCCCAGGAACCUUUAGCCCAGGGGUGGGGAACCUACAGCCCAUGGGCCAGAUCCAGCUCUUUGUUUAAUUUCAUCUGGCCCAUGGCAAGUCUCAGCACCACAGGCUAGAAGCCCCAAGUCUCAGUACCACCCCCCCAUGAGUGCCUGCUCACCCCACCAGGGGUGGGAAGCUUUGGCACCCCCUCCCACAGGGCUAUAUGUAGCCCACAAUUGAUUUUUUUUCUGUGAGUCAAUGGCCCAGUGAUAGAAAAAAGGUUAUCUAACCCUGCUUUAGCCAGUGGUUCAGUUCUACUCCUUCCUAGCCAGCCUCUCUCAGGCUUGGCCUUUUAAGGCCCUUACUCUGUUCCUCCACAGAGCCCCAUCCAAAGCACUCUCUCCUCUCCCCGACAGUCUGACUCCAAAACCCUCCUAUCUUUCAGGGCACACCCCUAGUCUAGUCUCGUCUCGUCUCGUCUCCUCUCCUCUCCAUGGCUCCCUUCUCCCUAGCUGCUUACCAGCCUCCUCUAUUCUCAUUAGGGUACUAGGGCUUGGAUUAUUCUCCUGCCUAACCUCUACCUCCCCCACCUCCUUAAUCCCCUAAAAU